rnacentral:rRNA from 1 species
GACAGAGGCCUCAAGCGUUAGGCGGAAUCACUGGGCUUAAAGCGUGUGUAGGCGGAUCGUUAAGUGCCUUGUGAAAUCCCACGGCUUAACUGUGGAACGGCUGGGCAUACUGGCGGUCUUGAGCCAUCUAGGGGCGACUGGAACAAACGGUGGAGCGGUGAAAUGCGUAGAUAUCGUUUGGAACGCCAAUGAUGGAAAGCAGGUCGCUGGGGAUGUGCUGACGCUGAGACAACGAAAGCCAGGGGAGCAAACGGG